rnacentral:rRNA from 1 species
UACGAAGGGUGCAAGCGUUACUCGGAAUUACUGGGCGUAAAGCGUGCGUAGGUGGUCUGUUAAGUCUGAUGUGAAAGCCCUGGGCUCAACCUGGGAAUUGCAUUGGAUACUGGCAGGCUAGAGUGCGGUAGAGGGUAGUGGAAUUCCCGGUGUAGCAGUGAAAUGCGUAGAGAUCGGGAGGAACACCAGUGGCGAAGGCGACUACCUGGACCAGCACUGACACUGAGGCACGGAAAGCGUGGGGGAGCAAAACAGGG